GACAGAGGGGGCAAGCGUUGCUCGGAAUUACUGGGCGUAAAGGGUGCGUAGGUGGUCGGGUAAGUCUGAUGUGAAAUCUCCGAGCUUAACUCGGAAAUGGCAUUGGAUACUAUUCGGCUAGAGGGUUUGAGGGGGGACUGGAAUACUUGGUGUAGCAGUGAAAUGCGUAGAUAUCAAGUGGAACACCAGUGGCGAAGGCGAGUCCCUGGAAAACUCCUGACACUGAGGCACGAAAGCUAGGGGAGCAAACGGG
rnacentral:rRNA from 1 species